rnacentral:rRNA from 1 species
UGGGGAAUUUUGGACAAUGGGGGCAACCCUGAUCCAGCCAUGCCGCGUGCGGGAAGAAGGCCUUCGGGUUGUAAACCGCUUUUAGCCGGGAAGAAAAGGCAGGGGCUAAUAGCCUCUGUUGUUGACGGUACCGGCGGAAUAAGCACCGGCUAACUACGUGCCAGCAGCCGCGGUAAUACGUAGGGUGCGAGCGUUAAUCGGAAUUACUGGGCGUAAAGCGUGCGCAGGCGGUUCGUCGUGUCUGGUGUGAAAGCCCCGGGCUCAACCUGGGAAUGGCAUUGGAAACUGGCGAACUGGAGUGUGGCAGAGGGGGGUGGAAUUCCGCGUGUAGCAGUGAAAUGCGUAGAGAUGCGGAGGAACACCGAUGGCGAAGGCAGCCCCCUGGGCUGACACUGACGCUCAGGCACGAAAGCGUGGGGAGCAAACAG